GUAUCUACUCUUGCUGUCCACCUUAUCCAGAGAGAAAAAGAAGUAUCUACUAUUGCUUUCAUGUAUAUCUAUUUUCACGUAUUAUCCGGAGGAAAGCAAAUAAGUACCUCUAAGUCUCAAUACAUGGAUGUCAGAAAGGCUUACAAUCAUAGUGCCGUGACAAGAGCCACUAUGAGUAUCCUCUUCAACUUCCUACAUAACAAGGAAACCAUGUUUAACUUCAAACCUUCCUUUCUCACCCAAAAAAUCACAGAAUUACUACCCCAAGAGUAUCAAUGCCAUGGGCUGAAGCUAAGAAAAAAAAUCCCUGAACGAGCAGGUUGUCACUGAAGAGGCGUCGUUGAUGCAUUCUGUAACAGCUUCACCAGAAUCAAACCCAUAUCUGCUAGUCACAU
rnacentral:lncRNA from 1 species